GACGAGGGAUCCUAGCGUUGUUCGGAAUCAUUGGGCGUAAAGCGGGUGCAGGUGGCUUUGUAAGUCAGAUGUGAAAGCCCAGGGCUCAACCCUGGAAGUGCAUUUGAUACUGCGAAGCUUGAGUGCUGGAGAGGUUACUAGAAUUCUUGGUGUAGUGGUGAAAUACGUAGAUAUCAAGAGGAAUACCGGUGGCGAAGGCGGGUAACUGGCCAGACACUGACACUCAGACCCGAAAGUGCGGGGAUCAAACAGG
rnacentral:rRNA from 1 species